UACGAGAGGCGCAAACGUUAUUCGGAAUUACUGGGCUUAAAGAGUUCGUAGGCGGCGCAGAAAGUAGGGUGUGAAAGGCCCUCGGCUCAACCGAGGAAUUGCGCUCUAAACUACUGUGCUUGAGGAAGCUAGAGGUGAGCAGAACAGAUGGUGGAGCGGUGAAAUGCGUUGAUAUCAUCUGGAAUACCGGAGGCGAAGGCGGCUCACUGGGGCUUUUCUGACGCUGAGGAACGAAAGCCAGGGUAGCGAACGGG
rnacentral:rRNA from 1 species